AUAUCAAUAAGCGGAGGAAAAGAAACUAACAAGGAUUCCCUCAGUAACGGCGAGUGAAGCGGGAAGAGCUCAAAUUUAAAAUCUGGCUCUAUGCCCGAGUGGUAUUCUAUAGAAGUGUUUUCCUUUGAGUACCGAGAUUCAAGUCUUCUGGAAAGAAGCAUUAUAGAGGGUGAGAAUUCCGUCCAUGAUCUCGAGUGGUUUAAUUGUGUGAUACUCUUUCUACGAGUCAGGUUGUUUGGGAAUGCAGCUUAAAAUGGGUGGUAAAUUUCAUCUAAAGCUAAAUAUUGGCGAGAGACCGAUAGCGAACAAGUACCGUGAGGGAAAGAUGAAAAGAACUUUGAAAAGAGAGUUAAACAGUACGUGAAAUUGUUGAAAGGGAAACGUUUGAAACCAGUCAGUUGACUUGUAAUCAAUCUAUCUCGCGAUGGAUGCACUUGCAAGUUUUACUCGUCAAUGUCAGUUUGAUGGGUUGGAAAAAGAUGAUUGAAAUGUGGCUAUCUUCGGGUAGUGUUAUAGUCAAUCAUGAAAUACAACCUGUUGGACUGAGGAAUGCAGUUGAAAUGUCGGCUUCGGCUUCUAAUCAACUUAGGUCAUUGACUUAAUGGUUUUAAAUGA
rnacentral:rRNA from 1 species